ACAACGAUCAGAUUUUGCUCCCAUUUUCCUCUUCUGCUUUCUCUCUCUCUCUCUCUCUCUCUUUUAUUCCAAUCACUCAAGCCAAAAAGAAAAGUAUGAUUAUCACAUUUCUAGUGACGCAAAUUCGAGCCCUAACAUCUCACACAGAGGCUCCAUGGAAGAUCUCUCCGAAUUGGGGUUAGUUUAAGCGGAGGAGCGUAGAUUCUCGGAACGCUCUGAGCUAAGACGGCGAUUAGGUUUUCAAGCUCGUGCUUCCUUGUGGGUCGAUGUUGUGGGCCGCGGAAAAACUCCGGUGGUGGUCUCUCGCUGAAGAUUGAAUGUUCUUAUGGUUCCUCGGAGAAAGAACUAUCAAAGGUUGCCUGGAAGCUUAUUCUUGUAAACAUGCGAUGUGGGAACUGGUAAAAGAUUUUAAGUUAUGAGAAUGAGAUGCUCGCUAAAUCUUCUCACACUGACUCAUCUUCACCCGUUGAUCUUUUGUUAAGCAGAUCAAGGAAUGGACUGCCUGAAGGGAAUGAGGAUAGUUCCCUACUUGAAGCAAUCUACGAGCCCUUGAUGAGGUUACAAAACUAGCUGAAUGUGACAUAUAUAUAUGCGUACAAGUUCUGAGCUCAUAAACAGCUCCGACAAAGAGGUGUCCAACAGUCAGUCCAAAAGGUUUCUAUCUAAGAUGAUUGAUGCUCGCCAAGUUAUGCUUUUGUGGAGUUGGUUCUGUUGUCCAAGAUGAGGUUUAUAUCAAGAAUACGAUGCCAAAAGGUUGUUUCAUCAUGCUUUCAAAAAGAGUAAUUAUGUACUACAGUAAUUUCUGUUUUAAAUGGCGGGGAGAAGUUACGUCGAAGAACUUAAAUGCUGUGUGAGCCACCAAAUCUAAAUCAUGUGCCUGAAGAAAUUCCAAGUAGGAGACAUGAUUAUUUAUGGGAGAAUCACACCUGUGUGGAGCCUUAAAGGCUUGUUCAUUGAAAUAGAUAAUACGGACAUGGUAAAUAUCAUACUUGCCAAAUUGUCCUUAGGUCUAAACCAGACUUGCCAUUUUAAUUGAUAUAUUUCUUGGUUUGUGGUAAGUUGGAUUAUGUUAAAACAUAGGUUUUUGAUGAUUUAUGUAACGUUGAGAAGAAUAAUAUUGCAAAGUAAAUAAAACUAGGCCUUUUUAUACUUGUUGU